ensembl:lncRNA
CGGAAGAGGAGGGGGAGGAGGAGGCUGGGAUCGGUCCAUGGGAACACCCCGCUGGCCUUUUCGAACUGCUAGAGCAGGGGCGUCCUGCUGGAGUAGAGGGGCCAAAUAGUCACUGCUCAGCUCUUGAGGGAGAAAACGAAUCGCAGUCCCCAGUCCCAGGGCGCAGCCUCUCCUUUGGCUCAGAUUCUGAGCUGCAGCAGACCAGAGCUGCCCAAGAGCACAGCCCCAAGGCAAGCUGCUGUGGCACGUGGACCAUUCAGAUUCAGAGCCCUCCCAGGCACACCUUUGAAGCCACCCUCUCAUUUAUCAAGGAGCCAGCCAAGGCAGGGGGUAUAUUCAGUCACACAGCUGGUAUCUGGUAUCUGGAAUUCAGAUGGUGGCACCAGGUGCCUCUCUCCCUGGGGCUCAGGUGUGGGCAGAGCAGGGUCCUAGCAGUCUCUGCAGUAUGGAGGUACUUGGAGGGCAUUCCUGGGAAAGGAAGAAGCGCAAAGGUGGGCAGAGGCCAGAGGGAGAGAGCAGGAAGCCCAAAGGGGAAGGCAGGGACACCUGGUGAGGUCCAGAUUGGAGGGAGGAGAAGAGGACAAAAGGAGGAAGAAGGGG